GAUGAACGCUGGCGGCGUGCUUAACACAUGCAAGUCGAGCGGGCAAUUUAUCUAGCACUGAUUACUUCAAAUGGCUAUCGCCAGUGUAAUCAUGAAUUUCUACCUUUUAAUAAAGAAAAAAGAAAUUCAUGUACGCAAAUAGUGAUAACACAUGAAAGUGGAGUGAUGAGUGCUGGAUAAAUUGCUAGCGGCGGACGGGUGCGUAACACGUGGGUAACCUGCCCCUAUCACUGGGAUAACACACUGAAAAGUGUGCUAAUACCAGAUAAUAUAAGCUUUUGGCAUCAUUAGCUUAUCAAAGAAUUUCGGAUAGGGAUGGGCCCGCGUCUGAUUAGCUAGUUGGUGAGGUAACGGCUCACCAAGGCAACGAUCAGUAGCCGACCUGAGAGGGUGAUCGGCCACACUGGAACUGAGACACGGUCCAGACUCCUACGGGAGGCAGCAGUGGGGAAUAUUGCACAAU
rnacentral:rRNA from 1 species